GGGGUCGGGGCCUCGUUGCCCCGCCCCGUCUUCCGAAGGUGAUGGCGGUGGCCUGGGUGGCGGCGGCAGUCGGCGCCGGGAAGACUGAAAUUACUGCUUUUACAGACUGCAUUACAACAGCUGAUUUCUUGUGAGGAGCUUAAGGAGCUAAGGAGACUAUUAAAAGGUUGCUACAGUUUAAGGACUAAUACACCAUAUAAGGAAAGCGGGGAGAAUGACUGUCUUCACCCGUAUGACCACCAGAGGGACGAAGGUGAACGGGACAGGAUGACCCCCUAGCAAUAACUGACGUUGCGGAACUCGGAAGGACUGAAACAAGACGACCCCCUAGCAACAACUGACGCAGCGGAACCCGGAAGAACUGGAUGAUAAAAAGGGACUGCAGGGAGGGGGAGUUGCGCGCCGCUUGGUGGAGCACGAGUUCCCCCGGCUGCCCAGAGCUGUUUUGCUUGCUGAUCGCUUACUUAAUAAAUUGAUUGACUUAAUUCAAAUUCUUCCGACUGAGAGUAAUUUAUAACACUGAAGAACAGGCUUUCUUGCUUUACAGGAUGUUUUAUUUUCGGGGAAUGGUGUUAAGCCAUUACUCUUUGCUCUGCUUCACAAAAAAAAGGUUUUGGAAUCAAAUUCACUUUUUGACACAUGAGAAAUAGUUUCACUUUUUCAAUACCAAAACUAAUUAGCCUUCCAGGGUGGAUGUUACCAGAGUAGGACUGUGCAUUAAUGCUUUGUAUAAGAUGUUAUAUAUGUAGAUGUAAAUAUAAUACAGAAUUUUGAAUGUUUGUGUGUAUAUAUAUAUUUGUCCAUGUUUACUUGAAUUCUUAUAGCGACUAUAAAUGCUUUGUGUAAAUUGUAUUUUUUUACCCUUUUCUUUAAGAAUAAUACCUGUUACUUCUUUUUGUAAGUAUUCCUAGUAAGUUUAGGGAAAAGAAGUAUAGUGAGAGUAGAGUCUAUGUUCAACUGUAAAAUAGAAUACAUGUUUAAAAUAUUUAGAGGAUUUUUUGAAAAUAUGUUCCUUUUGUCCAAAUUAAUUAUGGCAUGUAUCAGCCCAACUGUGUUGACACGCUAUAGGACAACACUGAUUACUAAUAUUCCACUUGUGAUAAACAUUGGCAGUAGCAUUUUUUUAUAAAUUGUUAAAAGCUAAAUGAAACUAUUGUAGAAUACAGCUUAAAAUCUUAUCAGUAGAAGGGGAGCCAGAGUAAUCACUUCUCUGUGAAUACAGCUUCCUAUUUAACAAGUAGUGUAUUUCAACAGAAGCAUUCCAAAAAUAAAGCUAUCCCUUUGCACAGUGCCUAACUAUCAGGUGAAAAAUCCC